GACGAACGCUGGCGGCGUGCUUAACACAUGCAAGUCGAACGGAAAGGCCCUUCGGGGUACUCGAGUGGCGAACGGGUGAGUAACACGUGGGUGAUCUGCCCUGCACUUUAGGAUAAGCCUGGGAAACUGGGUCUAAUACCGAAUAGGACCACGCGCUUCAUGGUGUGUGGUGGAAAGCUUUUGCGGUGUGGGAUGGGCCCGCGGCCUAUCAGCUUGUUGGUGGGGUAAUGGCCUACCAAGGCGACGACGGGUAGCCGGCCUGAGAGGGUGACCGGCCACACUGGGACUGAGAUACGGCCCAGACUCCUACGGGAGGCAGCAGUGGGGAAUAUUGCACAAUGGGCGCAAGCCUGAUGCAGCGACGCCGCGUGAGGGAUGACGGCCUUCGGGUUGUAAACCUCUUUCAAUAGGGACGAAGCGCAAGUGACGGUACCUAUAGAAGAAGCACCGGCCAACUACGUGCCAGCAGCCGCGGUAAUACGUAGGGUGCGAGCGUUGUCCGGAAUUACUGGGCGUAAAGAGCUCGUAGGUGGUUUGUCGCGUUGUUCGUGAAAACUCACAGCUUAACUGUGGGCGUGCGGGCGAUACGGGCAGACUAGAGUACUGCAGGGGAGACUGGAAUUCCUGGUGUAGCGGUGGAAUGCGCAGAUAUCAGGAGGAACACCGGUGGCGAAGGCGGGUCUCUGGGCA
rnacentral:rRNA from 1 species